rnacentral:rRNA from 1 species
CAGUAGCCACGGUAAUACGUAGGGUGCAAGCGUUAAUCGGAAUUACUGGGCGUAAAGCGUGCGCAGGCGGUUCGUUAAGACAGAUGCGAAAUCCCCGGGCUUAACCUGGGAACUGCAUUUGUGACUGGCGGGCUAGAGUAUGGCAGAGGGGGGUAGAAUUCCACGUGUAGCAGUGAAAUGCGUAGAGAUGUGGAGGAAUACCGAUGGCGAAGGCAGCCCCCUGGGCCAAUACUGACGCUCAUGCACGAAAGCGUGGGGAGCAAACAGGAUUAGAUACCCCCGUAGUCCCUGUCUCUUAUAC